GGUGGUUCUCAGGUGACACACCCCAGAAUCGGGGUCCCUCCUCUCUGGUUGCAGGUGUGUCACCAGAGAACCGCA
rfam:Myotis lucifugus cont2.2042, whole genome shotgun sequence.